AAAUAUUAUCCGCCAGGGACUACAAGCAUUAGCUCGAAACCCAAAGGACUUGGCGGUGCCCAGACCCACCUAGAGGAGCCUGUUCUAGAACUGAUAACCCCCGUUUAACCUCACCACCCCUUGCCAACCCCGUCUAUAUACCGCCGUCGUCAGCUUACCCUGUGAAGGAUUAAUAGCAAGCAAGAUGGGUACAACCCAGAACGUCAGGUCGAGGUGUAGCGUAUGAGGUGGGAAGAAAUGGGCUACAUUUUCUGAAAGAAAGAAUAUUACGAACGACAACCAUGAAAUUGGUGUCUGAAGGUGGAUUUAGCAGUAAAAAGAAAG
rnacentral:rRNA from 1 species